CCUACGGGAGGCAGCAGUCGAGAAUCAUUCACAAUGGGGGAAACCCUGAUGGUGCGACGCCGCGUGGGGGAAUGAAGGUCUUCGGAUUGUAAACCCCUGUCAUGUGGGAGCAAAUUAAAAAGAUAGUACCACAAGAGGAAGAGACGGCUAACUCUGUGCCAGCAGCCGCGGUAAUACAGAGGUCUCAAGCGUUGUUCGGAAUCACUGGGCGUAACGCGUGCGUAGGCUGUUUCGUAAGUCGUGUGUGAAAGGCGCGGGCUCAACCCGCGGACGGCACAUGAUACUGGGAGACUAGAGUAAUGGAGGGGGAAGCGGAAUUCUCGGUGUAGCAGUGAAAUGCGUAGAUAUCGAGAGGAACACUCGUGGCGAAGGCGGGUUCCUGGACAUUAACUGACGCUGAGGCACGAAGGCCAGGGGAGCGAAAGGGAUUAGAUACCCGAGUAGUC
rnacentral:rRNA from 1 species